UAUUUUCUCUUUUUUGGACAAAAGUCUGUUCUUUUUAAAUCAGCAGUGAUACAUUAAUUUCUGGUAGCAUUCACAAGCAUUACACAACUGGAAGCUUGGUAAACCUUGUAAUCUCUUUCAUUAUUUCUGUGUUGGAGGUAAGGGGAUCAUCUGGCCCUGACAUGCCACGUGUCCUUGCUAAUAACAUGUGUUACUUGCUGCUGGUUGUCCAUCUGCACAGCUCUUUAAUGUGUCCCACAACACAACCAAACCGCAUGGUUAACCAGUAUCCAGGGUCUCCGGUGGUCAAUGGUUGUGAGCUGCAGUAAAGCAGAAGCUGUCAUCUGUACGAGGUGUGGAACCACUUCCAAAGAUGCAUCCAGUGAAAGUGAAAGCAAAGCUUGCCCACCAACGUGGAGAGGAUUUCAUUGUCCGAAGAAAUUGCCUCAGCAAAAAGGCUGGCAUGGAGAUCUGUGUAGACUCGGACAGGCUCUGCAUUAUCCAUAACAUCAAUACGACAUCUUGCAGAAUUUGAAAUCGCUGCCUUUCUCUCUGAGUUAGUGAAAAAACAAACAAGGUUUGAAAAUACUUUGAGAAAGAGGAUUCGUUUGCCUUCUCGUAGAAGUAAGUAAUUCCACUCCCUUUUUGUCGCUGCUGGUUUUCCCUAGAGCACAAGCAGAAAAGUGUGAGGAGGCUCCCCAGGCCCCGUCUCCUUUGCCCCCUUGCAGCUGUUGCAAGGCAACAGAGAUGCGGCCUGGGGAGCCUUCUCACACUUCCAGGUGAAAUGAAAUGAGCGCUCAUUUUGUUUUCCCCUUGAAGAGGCAGUUUUAUACAGAAGAACAGUGCUGUGGCAUAAUCUGUUCUCUAGAGAUAAGUGGCCAGUUUGGGGGUGGGGGCUGGGUUCUGGCUUUGUUUUUUUUCUUUUUUCUUUUUCCUGAACUAGACCAGACGUGCUUGGCAACUUGUGUAGUAAUACAACUAUGACUGAUAGACUUUCAGGUCUUCUAGCUCCUGUAUAAUUCAUUAUGCUUUUAAGUACAACUACUAGCUGGUUCGUAUAUUAURAACAUAUACAUUUAAUUAUAUGCAAUUAUAAUUUUAUACAUACAUACAUAUAUAUAAAAAAGAGCUAAGCCAAUGAAUGAACUGCCAUCUGAUUGCCAUACCUUUUAAUCUUUCAACUAAAGAUUAUCUGUCACUAAAUGAUAAAUUGAAAGUGUGUAAAAUAAAAAUUGAGAGUUAAAAAUAACUAACGCA
rnacentral:lncRNA from 1 species